GAGUUUGAUCCUGGCUCAGGAUGAACGCUAGCGAUAGGCUUAACACAUGCAAGUCGAGGGGCAGCAUGAACUUAGCUUGCUAAGUUUGAUGGCGACCGGCGCACGGGUGCGUAACGCGUAUGCAACUUGCCUUACAGAGGGGGAUAACCCGUUGAAAGACGGACUAAUACCGCAUAUACUUAUUCGGUUGCAUGACCGGGCAAGGAAAUAUUUAUAGCUGUAAGAUAGGCAUGCGUCCCAUUAGCUGGUUGGUGAGGUAACGGCUCACCAAGGCAACGAUGGGUAGGGGAACUGAGAGGUUUAUCCCCCACACUGGUACUGAGACACGGACCAGACUCCUACGGGAGGCAGCAGUGAGGAAUAUUGGUCAAUGGGCGAGAGCCUGAACCAGCCAAGUCGCGUGAAGGAAGACUGUCCUAAGGAUUGUAAACUUCUUUUAUACGGGAAUAACGGGCGAUACGCGUAUUGCUAUGAAUG
rnacentral:rRNA from 1 species